AUGGUUGACGUCGUAGACGGUGUGGAGGAGCACUCCGGUGUGAAUCCGGUCUCGUCUACGGGAGAUGGGGGAACCGCGGUCUCUCGUGAGGAAUUAAAUGUGGCGUUGGACACAUUGAAAACCUCCAUGACUACCGAGGUCGAAAGCAUGUUUAAUAAAUACUUAGAAGGGAUUAAGCUUUCUACCGCACCGUUGAAAGUGGGUGAUCCCGCCAACAAGGUGACGGAUGCUACCUCCGACAAAGGGGAAGCUACUAGCGAGAAAGCUCCUUCUUCUAGUGGUAAAAAGGGCACCGGCAUCUUUGCCCAUGUGGAACCUCCACCUGUCUAUGAUGGACCGCUCCCUUCCACUCAUUUAAAUCAUGCCGGCCCGGCUCCUAAGAUUGAGAAUAAUGUAGAUUUUGAUUCUUGGGUCUAUCGUUUUAAGCGUCAUUUAAAUCAUGUGAACACUAACCUUUGGAGAAUCAUUGAAGAAGGUUUUUAUCCGCAUGACCGAAGUAACUUCACUCCUAGAGAAGUUAUGGAUCAUCAAUUCAAUGAGAAUGCUCUCUUCAUCAUCCAAUAA
rnacentral:rRNA from 1 species